UCGUAACAAGGUUUCCGUAGGUGAACCUGCGGAAGGAUCAUUACUGAUUUGCUUAAUUGCACCACAUGUGUUUUUUAUUGAACAAAUUUCUUUGGUGGCGGGAGCAAUCCUACCGCCAGAGGUUAUAACUAAACCAAACUUUUUAUUUACAGUCAAACUUGAUUUAUUAUUACAAUAGUCAAAACUUUCAACAACGGAUCUCUUGGUUCUCGCAUCGAUGAAGAACGCAGCGAAAUGCGAUACGUAAUAUGAAUUGCAGAUAUUCGUGAAUCAUCGAAUCUUUGAACGCACAUUGCGCCCUUUGGUAUUCCAAAGGGCAUGCCUGUUUGAGCGUCAUUUCUCCCUCAAACCCCCGGGUUUGGUGUUGAGCAAUACGCUAGGUUUGUUUGAAAGAAUUUAAGCUAGUGGCCACCACAAUUUAUUUCAUAACUUUGACCUCAAAUCAGGUAGGACUACCCGCUGAACUUAAGCAUAUCAAUAAGCGG
rnacentral:rRNA from 1 species